rnacentral:misc_RNA from 1 species
UUUCCGUAGGUGAACCUGCGGAAGGAUCAUUAUUGAAACUUGAAUCGUAGCAUUGAGAACUGUUGCUGACCUGUUAAAGGGUAUGUGCACGUUCGACGUGUUGCGUUCUAUUCAUCCACCUGUGCACCUUUGUAGACUUGAUUAACUUUCGCUUUCGAGCGGUUAGAAGGGCUGCUUUCGAGCUCCCUUUGUCUAUCAAGUCUAUGUCUAUAUAAUCUCUUGUAUGUCUAGAAUGUCUUGUUUAUGGGACGCAAGUCCUUUAAAUCUUAUACAACUUUCAACAACGGAUCUCUUGGCUCUC